AGUGAACGCUGGCGGUAGGCCUAACACAUGCAAGUCGAACGGCAGCACAGUAAGAGCUUGCUCUUACGGGUGGCGAGUGGCGGACGGGUGAGGAAUACAUCGGAAUCUACUUUUUCGUGGGGGAUAACGUAGGGAAACUUACGCUAAUACCGCAUACGACCUACGGGUGAAAGCAGGGGAUCUUCGGACCUUGCGCGAUUGAAUGAGCCGAUGUCGGAUUAGCUAGUUGGCGGGGUAAAGGCCCACCAAGGCGACGAUCCGUAGCUGGUCUGAGAGGAUGAUCAGCCACACUGGAACUGAGACACGGUCCAGACGCCUACGGGAGGCAGCAGUGGGGAAUAUUGGACAAUGGGCGCAAGCCUGAUCCAGCCAUACCGCGGGGGUGAAGAAGGCCUUCGGGUUGUAAAGCCCUUUUGUUGGGAAAGAAAAGCAGCAGGUUAAUACCCCGCUGUUCUGACGGUACCCAAAGAAUAAGCACCGGCGAACUUCGU
rnacentral:rRNA from 1 species